AGUGAACGCUGGCGGUAGGCCUAACACAUGCAAGUCGAACGGCAGCACAGUAAGAGCUUGCUCUUACGGGUGGCGAGUGGCGGACGGGUGAGGAAUACAUCGGAAUCUACUUUUUCGUGGGGGAUAACGUAGGGAAACUUACGCUAAUACCGCAUACGACCUACGGGUGAAAGCAGGGGAUCUUCGGACCUUGCGCGAUUGAAUGAGCCGAUGUCGGAUUAGCUAGUUGGCGGGGUAAAGGCCCACCAAGGCGACGAUCCGUAGCUGGUCUGAGAGGAUGAUCAGCCACACUGGAACUGAGACACGGUCCAGACUCCUACGGGAGGCAGCAGUGGGGAAUUUUGGACAAUGGGCGCAAGCCUGAUCCAGCCAUACCGCGGGGGUGAAGAAGGCCUUCGGGUUGUAAAGCCCUUUUGUUGGGAAAGAAAAGCAGCAGGUUAAUACCCCGCUGUUCUGACGGUACCCAAAGAAUAAGCACCGGCUAACUUCGU
rnacentral:rRNA from 1 species